rnacentral:rRNA from 1 species
UACGUAGGGACCGAGCGUUGUCCGGAAUCAUUGGGCGUAAAGAGCGUGUAGGCGGCCACUUAAGUCCUGCGUGAAAUCUUGCGGCUCAACCGCAAGCGGUCGUGGGAAACUGGGUGGCUAGAGUGCGGGAGAGGAGAGUGGAAUUCCUGGUGUAGCGGUGGAAUGCGCAGAUAUCAGGAAGAACACCAAUGGCGAAGGCAGCUCUCUGGGACGGUACUGACACUGAGACGCGAAAGCGUGGGGAGCGAACAGG